UCAGUCGACUCCUACGGGGAGGCAGCAGUGGGGAAUAUUGCACAAUGGGGGAAACCCUGAUGCAGCCAUGCCGCGUGUGUGAAGAAGGCCUUCGGGUUGUAAAGCACUUUCAGUAGGGAGGAAGGUAGUGUAGUUAACACCUGCACUAUUUGACGUUACCUACAGAAGAAGCACCGGCUAACUCCGUGCCAGCAGCCGCGGUAAUACGGAGGGUGCGAGCGUUAAUCGGAAUUACUGGGCGUAAAGCGCAUGCAGGCGGCCUGUUAAGUCAGAUGUGAAAGCCCGGGGCUUAACCUCGGAAUUGCAUUUGAAACUGGCAGGCUAGAGUCUUGUAGAGGGGGGUAGGAAUUUCAGGUGUAGCGGUGAAAUGCGUAGAGAUCUGGAGGAAUACCAGUGGCGAAGGCGGCCCCCUGGACAAAGACUGACGCUCAGAUGCGAAAGCGUGGGGAGCAAACAGGAUUAGAUACCCUGGUAG
rnacentral:rRNA from 1 species